UUGCCCCCAUUGGAGUAUCACCGGCACCAACAACAGUGUCUGGCACACAUGGGACUCUCAAACAAAAGGUCAAGGGCAGCCCAGGGAAGCCCCAAGGCUGGAAGCUCUCGCUGAGAAAGCCAGGCUGGGAGAAGCCCGUCUCCCUGAGUCAGGCCUGCAAGCCAGGCAGGCAGAUGGUGAAAGGCAGGAGGGAGAGGAGCCACUGCAGGCCCCUGGUCAGCAGAACAAGAAGAAUACGGAGCCGGGAGUUUGAGGGCAGCACCACUGAUAUUCAGGCUGUGUCAUUCUUCGUUGGGGAUGAGGGUGGCUGUCCUGGGCAUCGCAGGAUGUUUAGGAGCAUCCCUGGCCUCUACACUGGAUGCCAGUAGCAUCCUCUCCCCAAAGUGUGACAACCAAGAAUGUCUCCAGACUGCCAAAUCUUGGGGGGAGGAAGCAAAAUCACCCCCUACGGAGAACCGCUGAAACUGAGUUUCAGUCCAAUGACGGCCCACAUGCCACGAUCCCAGACAGCACAGGGCCAAGCAGGUAACACAAAUGAGCGAAGUUGGCUGGGAAACAGGACGUGGUAGGGUAAGAGCUGGUAAGCAACAGUGAGCUCUGGCAACCUAAAAAGUAGAUGUUCCUUCCACAAGGGGCAGUCACCACCCUGUUCUAGCCAGGUUUUGCCCUGAAGACCCAAAAUGGCCAAAUCCCCCGAUUUUUUUUUUCAAGAGAAGGUUUUAAUACUGAUUUUUCUGUGAAAUGUGCCCAUGUUUAAAACAUAGUAUGUGGCCAGGUGCAGUGUCUCACGCCUGUAAUCCCAGCACUCUGGAAGGCCGAGGCGGGCAGAUCACUUGAGGUCAGGAGUUCGAGGCCAACCUGGCCAACAUGGCAAAACCCCAUCUCUACUAAAAAUAAAAAAUUAGCCUGGCGUGGUGGCCCAUGCCUAUGAUUCCAGCUACUCAGGAGCCUCAGGCAGGAGAAUCGCUUGAACCUCGGAGGCAGAGGCUGCAGUGAGCUGAGAUCGCACUGCUGCACUCCAGCCUGGCGACAGAGCAAGACUCUGUCUCAAGAAUAAAUAAAUAAAUAAAAUAAAAUAUAGUAUUUGCUGAACAAAACACAUCUACAGGCUAGGUUUUGCCUACAAGCUAAGACUGUGCAACCUCCGCACAGAGACUGCCUGGAGGUGGAAGGGGCUGGAGGGAAACCCCCCUUAGGAGCCUGCUGUCAUCUAGACACAAGGGGCCUGGAGCAGGCCUGUGAGGGUAAGGGGCGGAGGGAGGAAAGGCUGGAUCCCAGAAACUCUUAAGGUGAAUAAGAUAAGCACAGCAAGACAAGUGUGCACACUGUAAUCAUAAGCCACGAGGGCCAAAGCAACAGCCAAUGCCCCCGGCUCCCUCCCACGAUGCGCUACAGGCAGCACUGUGCUUACGCAGGUCACACACCUAGGAGCCGGAAGACCCCUAAUGCAUCCUUCAGGUAGGACCCUCUGCUUUGCAGAAAACCAGCGCUUAGAAAAGGCUUAAAGUGAGUAUUUUGAAGACGGCUGGAAUCAGAGCUCAAAUCCAUAACCUCAAAGGCUUCAUGUCAUCUUGCCACCACCCACGCCAAUCCUUGAGCCUAGAGUAACGAAGAGAAAGGCUGCAACGACCACACACACCACGACGUCAGCCCAAAGGCCACGUGGCUCCAUCCACGGCAACAAAAUGCAAGGGAGCUCCGAGGGACACUUCCGUUUCAGGACAGGCUUACGGGGAGGACACCAGCUCCUCCCACCCUAUCUGUAGACUGGGUAGAAGGGCUUCUUUUGAGCGCUCUGUCUUCCCAGAGAAGGACGUCCUGGAAACAAGGCACGUGCAGUAUUACCAUUAAACAACAUGCACAUGCCAGUGGCGCUAAAUAAACAGCAGAGACAGAGGCUGCCUCACCCACUUGCUCCAUAGUCUGCAUCGAAUCAAGGUCACUGGAGACAAGGUAAAGUCCACAGAGCCCCCUCAUCUCACAUCCACACAGCUUUGCUCCUCCUGAAAGAAAUGAAAUAGCUGGAGUGUUUUGGCAAAGAAACGAAGAGGCAGGUGAGCAAGGAGAGAUGGGGGAAGGGAGGGGCGAAAGAAGAGAAGAGGCAGCCCCAUCUCCCAGCUGGGGAGAAACUUCCAGAUGGGAGGCAGCAGACGCCACUGAAUUGAUGGCCAGUCUCCACCAAGCCUCAUCAUGCCCCGCAGGCAAAGUCUCCACUCCCCUUCCUUCCCCCAGCCACGGGCAGGAGGCACCACCCAUGAAGACUGAGUCUGAGAUCAUGCACCAUUGACUACCCAAGCCCAAUUCUUCCUGUCCCUGAUCUCCAAGUGGUAGCUGCAAAUAAGCCCACGUGAGUUGCACUGAAAGGAUCAGGGCACUGGUUCUCGAGGACUGGGAAUGCAAUGAUAAAACGAAAUCUCACCAGCACUCAGUAAAGCCAGAUCCAAUGGCAGCCUUGGGCUGGUCACCCCUAAACCGCCAUGUGUCAGUCGGGUUCCGCCUCCCAGAAGCGGGUUACCCUGAUUUGUGAGCUGAUUAUUCUAGAAGACUCCAGGGUCUGAAAGUAUCUCAACAGGUUGGCUAUGUAAAAACACAGUCAAUCAAGCAGCCAGACACUUUGCAGAGAGACUCCACUCCACGAAGAAUUACAGGAGGACCAGAGGGUCUGGCUGUGCCGGAUCCCACAGCUCAGCGG
rnacentral:lncRNA from 10 species